rnacentral:snRNA from 1 species
UGCUUUGCGCAGUGGGGAUAACAUAACCAAUGAGGCUUUGUCGAAGUAUGUUAAUUGCUGGUCGAGAACUUCUCAAUUGCCCCGGUCGACCCCGAAACAUGGGAGUGAUGUGCACUUUUGGAUCGCCUCUAGGA